rnacentral:lncRNA from 12 species
UCCAACAGUCGCUCAAUUCUUUGCUCACCUGCCUCCCUGUCUCUUCCUGCUGCUUCUGAAUUGCUUAAACUCCCCCGGGAUACAAGCUCCCUAUAAUAAAUCAUGGCACAAAGGCACAGACUUUUGUGGCUCUAACUGAAAUUCACAAUUGGGCAAGCCCAGGAGGCAAUCACCUGGCCAUUGCCCUAACCCAUAUGCAUCCUCAGAGCUGCUUGAGCACAGAUACCUACCUGCUUGGGAUGCAAUCCAGAGGUCACAUUGCCCCCUGUGAAAAGCUGGAGGAGUCAGCUGGUUGUAUCCUCUGCCACAAAAUGCCUCUUGGGAUAAUCUAAGCAGCUGUCAUUUAAUGAGACAGAGAAAAGCAAGGCCCUUCUGGAUGAUGAAGGGAUCAUGUAAAUUACUGAAAUAAGCAUCACCUCUUCCCGUCUGUUUGAGAUGCAAAGUAAAUCUAGAUCUUCUUCACGCAGGGAACCCAUCUCUGAUGUCUCAACUGAUUCCUACUUUACCAGAGGGGUCAUGGAGUUUCCCAACAAGAGAUGAAACUGAGCUGGUGAGCCAGGUUGGGGUCAAGGCAUCACUGGGUAUCAGCCAGCAUGGACAAGCCCACUGCCUGCAAGUAUGGCUGAACAUGGAGAAGAGGAGGAAGGGACUCUCCUCCUGCAAGAAGAAGAGGAUGGAGGCCCAUGAAGACCCUGGAAGCUGGGCUCUGAGGACAGCCUAGUGGUUACCAGUGGACCAGCAUCUGAAGAAUGAGUGCCCUUCAAAAGUUUUCCCCAAAGCAAAGGUUUUCUAGGGCAGAGAUGAUCCCGAGGAGCCUGGGGGAGUGAUGGAGCUCUGAGAGCACUCCGAUUUGCAUGCAGUUCAGGGAAGUGAGAAGCUGUUUAAAGGCAAAGAUUUUAGCUGCACUGGGAGCUUUGGCCUUUUCAGUGGAGAGACCCAAGAGACUGCCUGUCAAAACAGAAGUCUCUUGCUAAAACUACCUAGCUUAGACAGCAUGAGUAGUCAGGAGAGGCUGGAAACAGAGGAAGGGGGAGGCAGAGGGAGGUCAGCUUUCCACAAUCGGAGUCGGGGUAAUGUGCAGAGAAAAGGAAGGGGGAUUAGGGCACAUGAGGAGGAAUAAAGGAAUAGAUGCAUGGCU